GAGAUCUCACAGAUGCGAAGGACAGGCUACAAUGGAUUACACAGAACAGGUAGCUGAGAUUGAAGCCUCCGCCCACUUUGGAGACCUGAUUGAAUUCAGCUAUCCUAUUGGCUACUCUCACUGGGGUGUCUACGAUGGGGAUGGAUACGUCAUACAUUUUGCAGUUGCAGAUGAGACCCAGGUGAUGAACACUUUCCGAGGCUACCUCCAAACCGUGUUCCCGGUCUGCGGGGAUCUACUCAUCGGGGAGACCAAAAUCCGCCGGGUGCCUGUCAAAGAAGUCACCGUCCCAAAGGGGGCGCACAUCUUAGUGUGCAACAACCGGCACGCUCUAAAACCAUCCACCCCAGAGGAGAUGAGGAUCCGCCGAGACGCGCUGCUGGAUAAAGAGCUCAAUUAUAAACUCUUCUCGCUGAACUGCGAACACUUUGCUACAUUCGUGCGAUACGGGAAAGCAGUGUGUAACCAGGUGAGUGCAGAUCUUCAGGCAGGCCCACACUCCUAAAGAGGCACUAAACCCCCUGAUUUUCGUUAACUCCACCCUCAGCUCAAAUUUGAAAAAGAGUAAAAAAUUAGAGGUGUAGUUUGGGAGGGGCACUGGGUGAUGUAUGGGUUUAGAGGAAGGGUAGGAGGGAAAGCUGAUUGGCUGAGCCUCAGCAGCAGGUGGUUUUAUUGAUAGACUGAUCUGCAUAUUAUAAGUGUCUGUGUACCAAGGUACGCGGACACAUCAUCCGUGCCUAUAGCACAUUUAAACCUUUGAGACCUUUCAGCUUUGGUCUCAUCUAACCACAGCACCUUCAUCCACACAUUUGCUUUCACAUUUGUCUUUCUCUAAACAUUUGUUUUCUUUAUGUCACUGUCCAAGCCCAUGAAAGUUGAUGCCGCUUUUGCAAAUGGUUAACUUCUGUUUUGCACAGUCCCUUUUUGUGUUGUAUAGCAGUUCUGAAAUGCAGGAAUAUAUAUAUUGGGUUUGUACUAUGUGUAAUCAAAAUAAAUGCAAAAAACACUGUUAUUUCCA
rnacentral:lncRNA from 1 species